CUACGGGAGGCUGCAGUGAGGAAUAUUGGUCAAUGGGCGCGAGCCUGAACCAGCCAUCCCGCGUGCAGGAUGACGGCCCUAUGGGUUGUAAACUGCUUUUCUAUGCCAAGAAACCUGAUUACGUGUAAUCAGUUGCCGGUAGCAUAGGAAUAAGCAUCGGCUAACUCCGUGCCAGCAGCCGCGGUAAUACGGAGGAUGCAAGGGUUAUCCGGAUUCAUUGGGUUUAAAGGGUGCGCAGGUGGGCUUGUAAGUCAGUGGUGAAAUGCUGCCGCUUAACGGUAGAACUGCCAUUGAUACUGCGAGUCUUGAGUAUGGUUGAGGUAGGCGGAAUGUGUUGUGUAGCGGUGAAAUGCAUAGAUAUGACACAGAACGCCAAUUGCGAAGGCAGCUUACUAAGCCAUUACUGACGCUGAGGCACGAAAGCGUGGGGAGCGAACAGGAUUAGAUACCCGUGUAGUC
rnacentral:rRNA from 1 species